rnacentral:rRNA from 1 species
CCUACGGGAGGCAGCAGUGGGGAAUUUUGGACAAUGGACGCAAGUCUGAUCCAGCCAUGCCGCGUGCGGGAAGAAGGCCUUCGGGUUGUAAACCGCUUUUGUCAGGGAAGAAAAGGUUCUGGUUAAUACCUGGGACUCAUGACGGUACCUGAAGAAUAAGCACCGGCUAACUACGUGCCAGCAGCCGCGGUAAUACGUAGGGUGCAAGCGUUAAUCGGAAUUACUGGGCGUAAAGCGUGCGCAGGCGGUUAUGCAAGACAGAGGUGAAAUCCCCGGGCUCAACCUGGGAACUGCCUUUGUGACUGCAUAGCUAGAGUACGGUAGAGGGGGAUGGAAUUCCGCGUGUAGCAGUGAAAUGCGUAGAUAUGCGGAGGAACACCGAUGGCGAAGGCAAUCCCCUGGACCUGUACUGACGCUCAUGCACGAAAGCGUGGGGAGCAAACAGGAUUAGAUACCCUGGUAGUCCACGCCCUAAACGAUGUCAACUGGUUGUUGGGAGGGUUUCUUCUCAGUACGUAGCUAACGCGUGAAGUUGACCGCCUGGGGGAGGUACGGCCGCGAGUAGAACGACAAUAGAGUAGACGGCGUGAGAGUGCCGACGGACGACGACGAGGGAGGAGG